UACGUAGGUGGCGAGCGUUGUCCGGAUUUACUGGGCGUAAAGAGCGCGCAGGCGGUCGUUCAAGUCGCGUGUGAAAGCCCCCGGCUCAACUGGGGAGGGUCACGCGAUACUGAUCGACUCGAAGGCAGGAGAGGGAAGUGGAAUUCCCGGUGUAGUGGUGAAAUGCGUAGAGAUGCGGAGGAACACCGAUGGCGAAGGCAGCCCCCUGGGCUGACACUGACGCUCAGGCACGAAAGCGUGGGGAGCAAACAGG
rnacentral:rRNA from 1 species